GCGAAUGAGGGUUAGCUGCUUGCCGAAGGUACAGUACACGGGAUAAAAAGGAAAGCUGCAAAAAAACGGGAGGGAAAUACUUUCGGUAUUGACUGAGAGGCUUUAUUAGCCGUUGAUGCAUGUCAGAAAACAAAUUUUAACAUGCCGGUCCCGUGUUUUGCAGCAAACGGAAAAACUGCUACGGACCUGAGGCUGCGAUAGGCAGAGGUAAUUGCCACCAUCUUUAUUAGGGGCAGUGAUCUUCGGGACUCAUGCCGGAUCGCCAUAUUUAUAGGUGGCAACCUGCAGUGGAACGCAAGCGCAGCCUUUCUUGCUUGGGAGGGGAGAUUAAGACAAGAGAAAUGUUUGUUUUUGUUUUUGUUUUUCUGGACUUCUUUCCCAGACUGUGAGACACGGCGUGUAUUUCCUGGGAAGGACCUUUGACGCUGGCGGAGUACUGGCUUCAGGCAGUAUAAAUUGCUGCAAGUUAUCCGUUAGAUAUUUAAUGGAGGAGAAAUGCCGAAAACGUGUUCAGAACUGCAUGUUCAAAAACAAAGUUGCUGGAAAAGCUCAGAUAUUUAUUGAGAAUAAUUUGCAAACCAGGAUCCCGAUGCAAGUUCUCCAUUAAGCGGAGUGAUCAGGAUCUGAGUAUCAUUGACACUUAACAGUGAAAGGAAAGAGGUUUAACCAUUCUAUGCAUGGGAGAAUACUCCUGGACUCUUUUAUACCCCCCACAGGACCUUUUGUGAUCUAAUCCCGUAACAGUGUGAGCUGCUACAAUGCACGUGCUAGUAAAAGCAUAAGAGGACAGAUGAGAUGAGUGCAUGGCUGGAGCUAUAACUUAAAAGUUUGAAAUUGUGAUUGCAUUCAGAGAAAUCAAACAAAACCACAUCCAGAUCUGACACUCAAUCUGUUUGUCGUAACCUAAUUAUCUCAGGAUUUUGAACAUUAAAGGAAGAAGCACUGUUCACACCAGGGAGAAAUGCGUAUUGUCUGUGUGUCGAAGAUUCUGUGAAGAUUCAUCUGAAAUGCCCAAACACCAGCACGGUCACACUGGGGAGAGACUGUGGAAAUGUGGGGAUUGUGGGAAGGGAUUUAUUUACCCAUCCCAGCUGGAAAUGCACCAACGCAGUCACACUGGGGAGAAACUGUUCAUUUGCUCUGAUUGUGGGCUGGGAUUCACUCAGUCAAGCAACCUGCUGAAACACCAACG